GGGUCAGUAGGUUGGUCGUGCCACCGGUACGUACUGGUCUCACUGAUUCCUCCUUCCUGAAGAACCGUAAUGCCAUUAUUUUGGUGUUGCGGGGAAACAGGACUGUUACUUUGAAAAAAUUAGAGUGUUUAAAGCAAGCUAACGCUUGAAUACAUUAGCAUGGAAUAAUGAAAUAGGACGAUCGAUCCUAUUUUGUUGGUUUCUAGGAUUGACGUA
rnacentral:rRNA from 1 species